rnacentral:rRNA from 1 species
GACGGAGGGUGCUAGCGUUGUUCGGAAUCACUGGGCGUAAAGGGCGCGUAGGCGGCUUUGGCCGUCGGCUGGUGAAAGCCCGGGGCUCAACCCCGGAGGUGCGGCCGAGACCCCAAAGCUGGAGGCCGGAAGAGGAGGGUGGAAUACCCAGUGUAGAGGUGAAAUUCGUAGAUAUUGGGUGGAACACCGGUGGCGAAGGCGGCUCACUGGUCCGGUUCUGACGCUGAGGCACGAAAGCGUGGGGAGCAAACAGG